rnacentral:lncRNA from 1 species
AUUCCUAUUUUUCCACUACCACCACCUUUUUGCUAUCCACCACCCCGGAUCAACCAAGUAAAAAAUGGAUACUUAUCGGUAAUACUGUACGAGUAUUAUUCGCAAAUUCUGUAAAAUUAUUUCAUUCAAAUUUGAAUUUUUCUUUUCUCUCACAUAGAACUGGUAGUUGAUAAAUUUUGAAGUUGAAAUAGGUGAACCCAAUCAUCAUCGAUACGAAUUGAAGAAGCAAGCAGCAUUAAGGUAACAUAAUCAAACAUUAUUCACACUUUCUUAUGUUUAUAUUUUCUUAUAGAAGUUUGUUAGUAACUAACUAACCGUUGUUUUUCGAUUUUUCUCUAAUCUCCACAUUCCCACUUUCAUUUUAUAACCGUCACUUCAAUGCUGUCUUUGUUGCACUGCCUGCAAUUUGUUGCCUCAGAUCAGAUCCAGAUUCAUCUGGUAAAUAAUUCUGUUUUCAGAUUGAUUGAUUGUUGAAUGAACAAUCAAAUUGGUCUAUGUCUUUGUAAAUCACUAUCAAAUAAGUUUCCGAAUUUGUUAUCUAAAGGUGGAUGAAAUAAUUUGAUACAUAAGAAGAUGGCAUCAAAGCAAAUGGAAGCUAUUCAGAAGAAAUUAGGAAUGCUAAACUAUCCAAGGGCAAAUGCAUCUGCUCAGUCCCUUUUAUUUGCUGGCAUGGAGCGCUAUGCCCUUUUUGAAUGGCUCUUCUUUCGGUAUCUUCUUUUCUCUGUCAUUAAAAUCCAUUCUGAUUUUGUUGGCGCUUAUGAACAAGGUUUAAAAUCACAGUUGUGUUGCGUUUUUUAUAUUUUGCAAUAAUUAUAAUCAAAUUUUGGCUGUCAAAAUGUUUAACAACCGCUUUUCUAAAACCUUCCUUGUAAAGUUGUUUUCGAAAACAAGUUAACGGAAACUGGAAUUCUUAAGGUGUUAGAUUUGCGUAAUAAUCUUUCAUAGUUCAUACAACCAUCUGGAUGAUAAGGAUUUAUAGUGCAUGUUUUGGAAUUGACGCGCAUUUCUUAACUGUUUCAGAGUUAAAAUUAGGCAGGUGAAAAUAGGGGCAGACUGCAGUUGAAAAUUUGGAACAAAAAUUUAUUUUUCUCUUGCUUGGUGUUUUCAAUAACCCCCAAAGUGUUUUCUUCUAGCUAUGCUUCUGUAGCUUGAAAGUAAUUUUUACUGAUUAUUUUGCCAAUUUUCUAUUUUCACGAUGUUUUGGAUUUCCUUGUUUGAGCGUAUUUGCAGCAGUGCUGCUAACACUUCUGUGAUGUAUUGAUUUCCAUGGUAAGAGUUAGACCUAAUGAUCUUUGAUGUUUGUACUUGCAACAGGCUAUUAGGUGAUAAGUCACCCUUCUCUCAACAAAACUUACAAGGGGAUGCCCUUGAUCGGGAUGAGGAGACGGCUCGAAUUCAAUGUAAGAGGUUUCUUUUUCUUUGUUUCGAAAAUUAAAAUUUUGUUGGUUGAAACUAGUAGGAAGGAUCUAGAGAUUAAUGAGUUGGAUCCAAAUAUGGUUUAUGACAUAACAUUAUGACGUAAUUUGAUCCAUAUAGCCAACCCCACUUGGUAGGAUAAGGCUUGGUUGUUGUUGUUGUUUGAUACCUCAGCAUCCAAGCUUUAUUUGCAACCGAGUUUUGCAACACUGAGGACCAAACUAUUGCUUGUUUAAAGAUAUGAUAUGAGCUACUUUUUUUUUAAAGAUUUGUGCCACUUAAAAUGGUACUUCCUUCGUUUCUAAAUAUAAACAAAUUUUACUUUUUAGAUUCAUUCAAUUAAUGAUGUAUGUGGUCCAUACUAGAGGUUCUUGGAAAAGAUCAUAGGUUCUUGGAACCAUAUAUGCAUUUUGCAAACUCAUCAAUCACAUGUUAACCCCGAAAAGAAUCAUACUAGUUCAUGCGACAGUCUGGCACUAAGCAAUGCUAAUCCACAUGCAUGUUUGAUGCUUGCAUGGCUACCACGCGGUAGUCAUGCACCCUUUUUCAGUAAAAUAAGGACUUAUAUGGUAAUCAUGCAAAGAGUCUCCUUAAACAAAUUAACUUUGAAGAACACAGACUCAAUCAAAUUUUUAUGAUAACAAAUAAACUCGAUAGAAUAAUUUUACCAUCUAAUGUUUGUUUGAGUGUGCUAAUAAUUUUUUUUAAUAAAUACAUUGUCUCAUGCAUUUGACAUCUCUAUAUUGAGAACAAAGUUGAACAAAGAGCGUAAUCUUGCACAAGCUUUGUCACUAAACUCUUUGUUUCGAAUAGGGAUGGACAUAAGUCGAAUCGAACUCGUCUGAGGUUGACUCGAUUUUGAUAUGAAUCUUUUUUCUUUUUACCACAAGUUAGUUUCGUUUAACCUUCACGAGCAACUUGAUUUAACACAUUUCGUUCAACUCAUUCGUUCAAAUCAUAUGAUUCAAAAGUCAAUUUUUUUGUCUAAAAAGGUCCAAAAAAAAAAAAUAACAGACCUCUGACCAUCACUUUUUUGAAAAGGAAAAGAUUGAACUAAAGUAAAAGAUAUCAUAAACAUAAAAUGAUUAAAGGAUAGUCACAAAUUCACUCUUCAAACGAAUAAAUAUGCAGAUAAAAAUAGAAAACUAAAAACCUAUCUGUUGUUAUAGACACUUCAAAAGAAAAAUACAAAAACAUGUCAAAUUUAUUAGGGUAAUUAAUUGUUCAAAAUGAUCUUGUAAUACACGUGAAUUCUAAAAAAUAACCCUAUAAAAAUAAAAGACAUAUUUUAAACUUGUAAUUUGAGAUUCUUCUUAUUUUUGACCAUAUAAUAUAUAUGAAGUCUAGAAAAGUGUCAGAGGUUCAAUUUUCAUGAUUUUUUUUGCAUACUGUUUUAGGAUGUUAAAAUACGGCUUUCCAAAAAAAAAUUGGAAUUUUCUGGCAAGAGAAAGAUUAAUUAUGAGUUUUCGUUCCCCAUAAUUAUGAAUUUCUUGGAUAAUUCAUAAUAAAUUUGUUUAUCGUUUAAAAACUCCAAAAUUUCAUUGUGAAGGUUCUUAUAACGUUCUCAUAAUGCCUAAAAAUUAAGUGAAUGUUUAGUCAGACCAAAAUUGGAAUUUCAUGGUAAAGGUUUUUAAAUCAAGACGUUUUUUUAUUGAGUUUUUUGUGCUUUAAAAAAAUUCCUAAUUCAUCCGUCCCUUGUGAGAAAAUUUUAUCUUCUUUAUGGAAAGCCAUAUUUUAAUGUCAUGAAUAUCACACUUUUAAAAGAAAAACACUUCCUAAACAUAACUCCAUAAAAUCAUAAAAAAUUCAAUCUCUAUAGUUUUUUUUGGACUAUAAAGUGAAAAAUAAGAAGAAUAUCAAAUUACAACGUUAGAAUAUAUUUACGGUCUCAUUUUUCAUAUUUCGUAUAUGUUACAUGACUAAUUUGAAUAAUUAACCAAAUUUAAGCUAAAAAAUAAAAAUAAAACCCAACAAAUUUUCAACUGAAUUAUAUUAUAUAUAUAGGUAUGUUGGUAAGCUUAUUCUAAAUUUAUAGCUUAUAGCUUAUGUCAUAUAAGCUUAGUAACAAUCAUCUUUUUAUGAACUUAUAUCUUAUUUUUAUGAGCGUAUAUCAUUUUGUGAUAAGCUAAUUCAAGUAGCUUACAUAUUAAAGAUUACUUCCUUCAUCCUAUAAUAAGUGAGUCAUUUGUAAAAAAUAGUGUCCCAAAAAAAUUGACUCAUUUCACUUUUCAAUACAAUAUUAAUUACUUUUUUUUCUUUCUUCCAGUUAUAACUUUAAUAUUCUACAUUACAUUUAAGAUAAAGAAUAAUGCACUAAUACUUGACUAAAGCACUCAAAACCAUUCUCUAUCUCUCUCUCUCUCAUACAAUACAAUUUUUCUUAGGCUUAAUAGCAGUUUUGUCCCGCUAAGUAUCAGAAAGUUGCGAUUUUGACCCCUUAAUAACAAAAUAAAUUACAACUCACUUUUGAAGUUUUAACCCCUAGAUCAAUUUUGACCCACACACGUGGCUCCUCACUUAAAAUGUUGGAUGCCACAUGUGUAAUUUUAAAUUUAAAAAAUCCAAAUAUGGCUAUUCUUGUUUCUUCUACUCUUGUGGUUUAUAUUUCAACCGUCAUUUAUGCCUUAACUCACUAGAUUUGGAAUGAAAUCAUGUUUGAUUAGUAUGUUUUAUAUGAAAUGGACUGAAUUGGUUUUUUUAAAGAAGAAAUUCUGGGUUUUUUUAAAGAAGAAAUCACGUGUCAUUCCUUUUUUAUUUUUAUAUUUAUUGUCUUUAUUUAAUUCAAAAAUACAUAUUUGAAUUUUUUAAUUACUUUUAAAUUGAAAAUUACACACAUAACAUCCAACUCACUUAAGUGAGGUUCCACAUGUGCGUUGUUCGGGUUAAAAUUGGUAUGAAAACAAAAGUGCAAAAAAGGUAAUACUUAGAGAGCUGAGUUGUAAUUUAUUUUGUUAGAAGACCAAAAUCACAAUUUUCUGAUACUUAGAAGCUAAAACUGCUAUUAAGCUUUUUUUAAUAGGUGUAAAUCGAACAAAAACAAAACUCACUUUCAUCUCAAUAUCACCAUUGCAAUCUUGAUUGACUAUUUUCCCAAUUUCUUUUUUGUGGUGGGUGGGAUUUGAACUCAAACCUUGUAUAUAUUAUGCAUUAUCCCUACCAACUGAGCUAAGCUCACGAGGACAUUUAUUUAUCCAAUUUCUAACCUUAUUAUAGUAGUACAAUAAAAAAAUCAAAAUAUUUAUUCCUAUUUUUCCACAACCACCACCUUUUUGCUAUCCACCACCCCGGAUCAACCAAGUAAAAAAUGGAUACUUAUCGGUAAUACUGUACGAGUAUUAUUCGCAAAUUCUGUAAAAUUAUUUCACCAUUUUAGAAGUAUCUAUGCCUAAGAGAUACUCAUUCAAAUUUGAAUUUUUCUUUUCUUUCACAUAGAACUGGUAGUUGAUAAAUUUUGAAGUUGAAAUAGGUGAACCCAAUCAUCAUCGAUACGAAUUGAAGAAGCAAGCAGCAUUA